rnacentral:rRNA from 1 species
AUACGUAGGGGGCGAGCGUUGUCCGGAAUGAUUGGGCGUAAAGGGCGCGUAGGCGGCGCGGUAAGUCUGGAGUGAAAGUCCUGCUUUCAAGGUGGGAAUUGCUUUGGAUACUGCCGCGCUUGAGUGCAGGAGAGGUUAUCGGAAUUCCCGGUGUAGCGGUGAAAUGCGUAGAGAUCGGGAGGAACACCAGUGGCGAAGGCGGGUAACUGGACUGCAACUGACGCUGAGGCGCGAAAGUGUGGGGAGCAAACAGGAUUAGAUACCCUGGUAGUCCACACUGUAAACGAUGAAUGCUAGGUGUAAGAGGUAUCGACCCCUUUUGUGCCGGAGUCAACACAAUAAGCAUUCCGCCUGCGGAGUACGGCCGCAAGGUUGAAACUCAAAUGAAUUGACGGGG